UUCAAGUAAUGAUGUCAACUUCAUAAAUCCUUACAUAUAAAAAAUAUCGGGAUCAGGGCUCUGGGGUCAGUUCACCGCAGCUUGGGCAUCUCAUGAUUAUGAGAGGAGGAGAUUGACGAAUCAGGUGAAUCGAGCGACAAAGGUGGUUAGGGGAGCUAUGCUACACAUUGGUGGAUCAGUCCCUCAUACGAAGCACUACAAGAGGCUGAGCUGCAUGUCCGAGCUAAUCGAAGCCUGAGGACUGUGCAAUGGGUCUCAGAGCAUUCUCGACGAGUUGCUGAGGUGUUUGAGAAGCUUUGGGGGAGGCACUUUACCACUCAGUCCCAGACUGACACCAACAACAGAGGUAGUCAGUCUACCACUACACAGUCUGAGUGCUAGCUUUGGACCCCUGUGAUAGGGAGGAAGGAGAGGAUUUAUGGCCUUGGAGUGAAGGGCAUCACCUUCAAGGUCAAACUCUCUCAUGGUCUCGUUCUUGGUUCACCAAGCUCCUUACAGCCAGACCAGGAGGCUCUUGCAAGGUAGGUGGCUGCAAUGAAUGAAGAAAUCUACAGCUGCGUAAGCAUAUGCUAUAAGGAAAACAUAGAGUGAAUGACUCCAUAGCUUGCUUGGCAGAGGCCUUAGCAGAUAGCUCGGACAAACAACCGAUGACAUCCGUGCACGA